rnacentral:rRNA from 1 species
AAGCUCGUAGUUGAAUUUCGGACCUGGCCGACUGGUCUGCCUCACCGCAUGCACUGGUUUGGUCGGGUCUUUCCUUCUGGCAAGCCGCAUGCCCUUCACUGGGUGUGUUGGGGAACCAGGACUUUUACUUUGAAAAAAUUAGAGUGUUCAAAGCAGGCAUUAGCUCGAAUACAUUAGCAUGGAAUAAUAGAAUAGGACGUGUGGUUCUAUUUUGUUGGUUUCUAGGACCACCGUAAUGAUUAAUAGGGAUAGUUGGG